UACGUAGGGAGCAAGCGUUAUCCGGAAUUAUUGGGUGUAAAGGGUGCGUAGACGGGACAGCAAGUUAGUUGUGAAAGCCCUCGGCUUAACUGAGGAACUGCAACUAAAACUAUUGUUCUUGAGUGCAGGAGAGGAAAGCGGAAUUCCUAGUGUAGCGGUGAAAUGCGUAGAUAUUAGGAGGAACACCAGUGGCGAAGGCGGCUUUCUGGACUGUAACUGACGUUGAGGCACGAAAGUGUGGGGAGCAAACA
rnacentral:rRNA from 1 species